AUAUCACCUGAUCUCAUCUGACCUUGGAAGCUAAA
rnacentral:rRNA from 1 species